GACAAACGCUGGCGGCGUACCUAAGACAUGCAAGUCGAACGGGACUGACCGCUUUCGAGUGGUGAGUCGAGUGGCGGACGGGUGAGUAACGCGUGGGAACCUGUCGCGCGGUGGGGUAUACCGCCGGGAAACCGGCGCUAAUACCGCAUGCGCUCUCAUGGAAAUGAGAGCAAAGCAGCAAUGCGCCGUGUGAGGGGCCCGCGUCCGAUUAGCUGGUUGGUGGGGUAAUGGCCUACCAAGGCUGCGAUCGGUAGCUGGUCUGAGAGGAUGGUCAGCCACACUGGGACUGAGACACGGCCCAGACCCCUACGGGAGGCAGCAGUUAGGAAAUUUUUCCAAGUGGGGGAAACCCUGAGAGAGUAACGCCGCGGUGGGGAUGACGGCCUUC
rnacentral:rRNA from 1 species